rnacentral:rRNA from 1 species
CGGGGUGCAGCAGGCGCGAAAACUCUACAAUGCAGGCAACUGCGAUAGGGGAACAUCGAGUGAUACUCAUCUUGGGUGUCUGUCCUCCCGUCUAAAAAACGGGAGUUAGCAAGGGCCGGGCAAGACCGGUGCCAGCCGCCGCGGUAAUACCGGCGGCUCGAGUGGUGGCCGAUAUUAUUGAGUCUAAAGGGUCCGUAGCCGGCUUUGCAAGUCUUUUGGGAAAUCCAGCGGCUUAACCGUUGGUCGUCCGGGAGAUACUACAUUGCUUGGGACUGGGAGAGGUAGGAGGUACUCAGGGGGUAGGAGUGAAAUCCUGUAAUCCUUUGGGGACCACCGGUGGCGAAGGCGUCCUACCAGAACAGGUCCGACGGUGAGGGACGAAAGCUAGGGGCACGAACCGGAUUAGAUACCCGGUUAGUCCUAGCCGUAAACGAUGCUCGCUAGGUGUCACAACAAUCGUGAAUUGUUGUGGUGCCGUAGGGAAGCCGUGAAGCGAGCCACUUGGGAAGUACGACCGCAAGGUUGAAACUUAAAGGAAUUGGCGGGGGAGCAC